rnacentral:lncRNA from 1 species
GCUCACGGUGAGGAAGCCCCGAGCUCCCGGGACGCAGACAGGGUGUGCAGGGCCGUAGCUCGGGCCUGUGUAUGCACCUGUGCGUGUGUGUUUGAUGCCAGGACAAGGCGGCGGUGUGCGCGGCGAGGAGGCUGCGACAGCUGUAUAGACCCCAGCUGCAGUGAAAUGGCCAUCAAAAAGGGAAGGGAUAAUCGAGUGGUGGAAUAAAAUCUGCAAACAGAAAAAGGACAGACCUGUUUUCGGAACGAGGCUUUUCGAGUUGUAAGUGUCCCUUAAGCAGAGUUCUGGGAAGACGUCGUGGGGAGAACCUAGGAGUAGGAUUCCUUCCUCAGAGGCUCUCCCUUGGGAACUCUCAGAGGUCAGGUUCCAUGUGAUCCACAUCAUUCCCAGAGCUGUCUCCGCAGGAGACUUAACGUGAAUUUUGAGAAAGUCCCCAGUCCUGGAUAUCAGUGACCCUGGCCUUUCCCUUGAAUACUAAGAAGGGUUAGCAGUACUCCCAUCUCCCUUUUACUUCCAUCUGAGUAUGUUUAUGGUAGAUGAUGAGAGCUCGUGUGGUGGCAAUAAUUUUUUCCAAUUUAGCCAAUCUGGGUUCCAAGAAAGGUCUGAUGUCUCAUGAUUCCUUACCCCUUCUCCCUUGCCUUGAGGUUCUCUAAGAGCCCUGAGGAAAGGGAACCAUUGCUGAGCAUAUCUGAAAACCAAGGUCAAGGAAGUUUUGUUGUAUUUUCUAUUUUUGUUCUCUUUGAUUUUGUUUUUCAGCAAGGGAGUAUUUUUUCUCCUCCUGAAAUGCUAGUCAGUGGUUAGGUUACUAUUAGGCAGGGCCUUGUGAGGUGCUUUGACCAAUAGAAUGUGGUGGAAGUGAUAUUGUGAGACUUCUGAGACAAAGCUUCAGGAAGUCUUGCAGCUUUUUCUCUUCCCCUUUUCCUGCCCUGAGACCACCAUGACUGAAGGCUAAGAGCAACUUGCUUGCGCAUUAAAGAUCACUUGGAGAGAGAGGUCCAGUGAGCAACAACGGCCAGAAAUUUCAGGGAGACCAUCUUGAACCAUCCAGCCUCCACCAGGCCAACAGCUGACAGCUGUCACAUGAAUAUGAUCAGCAGAAGAACCACUCAGGCAAGCCAAGCCCAAAUUGCCAAGCCCCCCAAAUAAUAAGCUAAUUGUUUUUUGUUUUAAGCCAUAAACUUUUGAGGUGGUUAUAUAGCAAUAAAUAACUGAAACAGGUGUUUAACUUUCUAGACUUUUUAAAUGACCAUAUUGAUAUAAUUGUAUUGUUCAACCUGUUUUGUAAAGUGAUUUCUCUGAUACAGUAUCUUGAAAAUAUUCCUUAACUAUUUUCUACAACUUUGCAUUUGUCUAUCUUAGUAUUAUAUUACAUGGAUAUGUGGUAACUUAUUUAACUACUAACUUCCCUUUGCAAUUCCUUUUCCUUGCUGUCUAGCUCCCAUGUCUUGACCAACUUUGCAUUCCCCUCCAGGACCUUAUGGGCACAUGGGUUCCUAUCAUUUCACGGGUAUGUAGACUCAGGAAUGUGGCAUUGACUUCUGGGUGGAGUACAGAUGACUGACACCCCCACCCCGAUUCGGAGGAAUUAUUCAGGGGUGUGAUAUAACACCUACAUACAUUUAUUUAACUAGCCAAUUUGGUCUCCCCUUUUUUUGUUUUGAGACCGAGUCUUGCUCUGUCGCCCAGGCUGGAGUGCAGUGGCGUGAUCUCGACUUACUGCAACCUCCGCCUCCCAGGUUCAAGGGAUUCUCCUGCCUCAGCCUUCCGAGUAGCUGAGACUACAGGUGCCCACCACCAUGUCCGGAUAAUUUUUGUAUUUUUAGUAGACAUGGGGUUUCGCCAAGUUGGCCAGGCUGGUCUCAAACUCCUGACCUCACGUGAUCUGCCUGCCUCAGUCUCCCAAAGUGUUGGGAUUACAGGCAUGAGCCACCUCGGCCAGCCGGGUCUCCCUUUUUACAUCUGUUUUCCCCUUUCCAGUUCAAAUUCUGUAUUCUGGGAACAUCUUACUUUCUUCACCCUGAUUGAUUAGGGAAACUUCAGGGUUCUUAGGUAACUUUCUGAAGGACUGGUUUAAGAUUCCUAGAGUUGGAAAUGGGCGUCUCUCCUGUGUUAUUUCUAAAGUGUUAUCAUCCUAAUCCUUCAGAAUACUUUCUUGACUUCUUUCUGCUUGAUGAUUAAGGAAUGGUCUCAAUUCUCCAUAGCCACAUCAGACCAAAAUUCCAUUUCUUUGCCUAUGUGAAGGGUUUAUUAUUAAUUACCCUAUUAAUUUAUGUCCAAACCAGAUGUGAUUUCCUUCUUGGAGCAAUAGUUCGUGAAGAGGUUGGUUAACAGCAGUUCUGUGCCCAGGUAAAUGAGAGGCAACUGAUAAGAGGAACUCGUUGUGUAUAAAAUCUUAGGAUUCUAGAUUUAGGACCUUUAAGGCAGUAUUUGAAUUAGUGCUCUGGAAUGUCUAUGAAGAAAGUUUGGGUCUCUUCAGCCAGAAUUCAGACCAUUUCAACAUUGCAUUCCAUGUAUCAUACACAUAUCUCCUUUUAUUAUUAUUUUUUCUGCUCUCAAAGCAGAUUUCUCUCAUUGUAAAAUUAGUAGAUUCUUAAUUCAGAAGAUUGGAGAAUAUUAAAAAAAGCUUAAAGUAAAGCACUUUGAACACUUUAUUCCAAAUCACUUCACCUCAUUUGUGAAUAAGUGCAUGGAUAUAGGCUUAUAGGACUUUUUCAUUCAAAACAGGGUUAUAUAACAAUUGUUUUGAAAUCUACUUGUUUCUUCUAACAAAAUAUAGUGAACAAAUUUUCAUGUCACUAAAUUAUGAACUGUGUCAUAAUCUUUUAAUGGCUGCACUGUUCUGUUUGUAUAUGUAAGUUCUUUCCAGCUUUUUCCCAUUAUAUGCAAUGUUUUACUGCAUAUGCCUUUUCUGUGCACAUGUGAAUUGUAUAUUUUGGAUAGUCUUAGAUAUUUUGCUGAGAAUGAGGUUUUCAUAGUUAAAACCUGUUUACACAUCUAUAUCAAUUGCCCUGAUUAAGUUUGCACCAAUAUUCAACAUACUAUGAGAAUGUCUAUUCGCUACUAUAUGGUAUCAUUAGUCUUUUAUUAUUAUUUUAUUUUAUUAUUAUUAUUAUUUGAGACAGAGUCUCACUCUUGUUGCCAGGCUAGAGUGCAGUGGCAUGAUCUCGGCUUACUGCAACCCCCGCCUCCAAGGUUCCAGCAAUUCCCCCACCUCAGCCUCCCAAGUAGCUGGGACUACAAGGCGCAUGUCACCACGCAUGGCUAAUUUUUGGUUUUUAGUAGAGACGGGGUUUCACCAUGUUGGCCAGGAUGGUCUCCAUCUCCUGACCUUGUGAUCCGUCUGCCUUGGCCUCCCAAAGUGCUGGGAUUACAGGCGUGAGCCAUUGCACCUGGCCAUCAUUAGUCUUUUAAAUCCACCAAUCCAGUAGAAAUUAUAUUUAUUUAAAUGAAUUACCCAUGCACAGGUUUCAUUCAGUGUAAUAAAAUAUGGGCUUCAGAAACAAAAACCAGAACUGAAAGAAAAUUGGUUUUGUAGGUAGAAAAAUGUGAUUUAAAAAUGCAGAUAUGCCAUUUAUUUUGAGGGUGUAUAGCUCACCCCUGUAAUCCCAGCACUUUCGGAGGCUGAGACGGGUGGAACACUUGAGCCCAGGAGUUUGAGACCAGCCUGGGCAAUAUGGUGAAACCCCGUAUCUACUAAAAAUACAAAAAAUUAGCUGGGUGUGGUGGUGCACCUGUAGUCCUAGCUACUUGGGAGGCUGAGAUGGGAGGAUCACCUGAGCCCAAGGAUAUUGAGGCUGUAGUGAGCCGUGAUUGUGCCAAUGCACUCCAACCUGAGCGUUGGAGUGAGACCAUGCCUCAAAAAAACAAAAACAAAAAACUCUUAAAAUCGAGGGAAAGACCCAAAAACCCGAUAGAAAAAGUGAGUAAAAGAAAUGAACACAUGAAAUCACACACACACAGACACACACACACACAAAGAGAGAGAGAGGAAGCACAAAUUUUAAAAUUAUAGCGUGCUGGCUUUUUAAAAAAAUAAACCCAGCUGGGUGUGGUGGCUCACGCCUGUAAUCCCAGCACUUUGGGAGGCUGACAUGGGCGGAUCACGAGGUCAGGAGAUUGAGACCAUCCUGGCUAACAUGGUGAAACCCUGUCUCUACUAAAAAUACAAAAAAUUAGCUGGGCGUGGUGGAGGGCACCUGUAGUCCCAGCUACUCGGGAGGCUGAGGGAGGAGAAUGGCGUGAACCUGGGAGGUGGAGCUUGCAGUGAGCCAAGAUGGUGCCGCUGCUCCCCAGCUUGGGCGGCAGAGUGAGACUCCGUCUCAAAAAAAAAAAAUAAUAAUAAUAAUAAUAAUAAAAUAAUAAAAAAAAAACCCAUGCAACCGCCAUUACAGACAUAGAAACUUUCCAACAUCCCAGAAGGCUCCCUCAUAUCUCUUCCCAAUCAUUAUACCUCAAAGUUAACCAUUAGUUUGACCUCUAUAAUAGAAUAGUUUGGUUUGGUUUUGAACUUCAUAUAGGUGGAAUCAUAUAGUAUGUACUCUUGUGUCUGACCUCCUUUGCUCAACAUUAUUUCUAAGUAUAUAGAUACAUAUAGAUAACAUUAUAUCCAUGUUGCUGUACAUAGUAGUAGCUUGUAAUUUAACCUUUUUUUUUUUUUUUUUUUGAGACAGGGUCUCAUUCUGUACUCCAGGCUAGAGUGACAGUGACACUAUCAUAGCUCACUGCCACCUCAAACUCCUAGACUCAAACAAUCCUCCCACCUCAGCCUCAGCUCCCCAAGUAGCUAGGACUACAGGUGCAUACCACCACCACACCCAGACAAUUUAAAAAAUUUAUAGAGAUGGGGUCUCACUAUGUUCCCCGGGCUGAUCUUGAAUUCCUGGCCUCAAGUGAUCCCCCUGUCUCUCAGCCUCUGAAAGUGCUGGGAUGACAAGUGUGAGCCAUAGCACCCACCCUUUAUCAUGUAAUUAUUUUGUUACUUCCCUCUUGUUCACUCUCUCUACAUAUAUCUGGUUGUAUGUCUUAAGUCUUAUACUACUAGAAAUUAGGAGUUAGGUUGAUCAGUAUAUACAAAGUUUCAGUUAUAUGAGAGGAAUAAGUUUUGGUGUUCUGUUGUGUAACAUGAUGACUAUAGUUAAUAAUAUUAAACAUAUGAACUGGGGGGGAACAAAUCAGUCUAUAACAAUUCCCAAUUAAAAAAAAAAAAAAGAAAACUUGGCCAGGUGCAGUGGCUCACACCUUGUAAUCUCAGCACUUUGGGAGGACAAGGUGGGCCAAUCGCUUGAGCCCAGGAGUUCAAGACCAGGCUGGGCAACAUGGUGAAACUCCAUUUCUACAAAAAAAUACAAAAAAUUAGCUGGGUGUGGUUGUGUGCCUGUAGUCCCAGAUACUUGGGAGGCUGAGGUGGGAGAAUCACUUGAGCCCUGGAAGUCAAGGCUGUAGUGAGCCGUGAUUGCACCACUGCACUCCAGCCUGGGCAUCAGCGUGAGACCUUGUCUCAAAGAAACAAAACUCCUCUUAAUGUCAAGGGAAAGACCCAAAAACCUGACAGAAAAGAUGGGUAAGAGAAAUUAACAAUUCACAAAAAAUAUGUAAAAGGGACCCUUAAAUGUGUAAAAAGAGAAAUACAAAUUAAAAUAAUAUGGAGACAGGCCAGGUGAGGUGGCUUACACCUGUAAUCCCAGUGCUUUGGGAGCCUGAGGUGGAAGGAUUGCUUGAGGCCAGGAGGUUGAGAUUACAGUGAGCUAUGAUUGCACCACUGCACUCUAGCCUGGACAACAAGCAAGACCCUGUCUCUUGGCAGGGGGAGAGGGGGAAUACUGAGACCAUUUUUAACCUAUCAAGAUGACAAAAAUUAAAAAAUAUAACAAUGUAUUCUGUUGGUGAGACAGGAUAUAGUCGGCUGACUGAUGACCCUGCAAAAAGAUAUGUCCAUGUCCUAAUCUCUGGAAACUGUGAAUGUUACUUAAUUUGGAAAGAGGGUCUUUGCAGAUGAAAUUAAAUUAAGAAGUUUGAGAUGAGUAGUUCAUCCUGGAUUGUCUGGGUGGGUUGGGUCCUAAAUCCAGUGACAAGCAACCUUAAAAGAGACACAAGGAGACUGGCAGACAGAGGAAGAAGAGGCAGCAAUGUGACCCCGGAGGUGGAAAUCUCAGUGAUGGGGCCAGGAAUGUCAAGGAAUGGUCAAGGAAUGGCUACAGCCACCAGAAAAAGAGGCAAAGUGAGGCUUCUCCCCUAGAAUCUCUAGGAGCGCUCCAGCCCUGCUGAUGUCUAGAUUUUUGGAGUUCUGGCCUCCAGAAUGUGAGAGAGUAAACUAUUGUUUAAAGCUACCAAGUUUGUGGUAACUUGUUAGAGCAGCCACAGGAAUGAAUGUACAGGGAAUCAGGCAGUCUCAUACACUGAUGGUGGGAAAACAAACCGGCACAACCCUUAUGGUGGGAAAUUUGACAACAUGUACAAAAACUACCUACACAUUUCCCUUGUGACCCAGCCAUUCCACUGUUAGGAAUCUGCCCUGAAGAUACAACUCCACCUAUUAAAAAAUACAGCCAUUAGAAUGGAUGAUGUUUACCGCUACUUGCUGACAAAGAAAAAUGUUCACUUGUGUUAAAUGAGAAAGACAGGUCUCAGAACAGCAACAAUGUUCUAGACGAUUCUGUUUUUUAAUACUCAGUAUAUGUAGAGGAGAUUAAAGGGAUUUAUCGUGAGAUGCUCAUAGGGGGCAACUGUUAUUUCAGAUUUCUUUUUUAAAAUUUUUAAUUGACAAGUAAUAAUUGUAUAUAUUUGUACAACAAUUGUAUGUAUUGUAUGUACAAUUGUAUAUUGAUGUAUAUAUUUGUACAAUAAUUGUAUAAUUUAUAUGGUACAAUGUGAUAUUUGUAUGCAUCAAUACAUGAUGGAAUGAUCA